AAAACGGGGAUCCAUGUUUUGCGCCAGCCUCAAUGGUGAUUAGGCCUAUGUGCACAGGCCCGGCGAGCCGCACAAGACAAUACAGUUUGGUUUCUGCACAUGAACGAAAGCUCAUUACCAGUACAACAUGCAGUCAUCAAUUUGUACAGAAUAAAGUUUGUUAGCAGCUAAUCCAGAGUUUCGGUAAGACGAGUAGGAUAACAAGUAUGAUGAGCUUAUACUUAUCAAUUAAAUUUAGUAAUUGUGAAGAGGAACUGGAUUCUCCUAUUUUGUAGUGUCCCAUCUAUAUCUGGUGGAACAAAUAACUGCAUCUCAUGGUGUACUUAUUAUGAUUAUGAAGAUUCUGCUCUUUUUUUAGGACUUUCACGCGUGUCUGUUUUCUUGCAUAAUUUCCCUGUGGAUAUCCUAUUGAUUUUCAUAUGACAUGAAGGAAAUUGAGCAAAAAUAUGGAAAAUAAGAAGAGACCGCCCUUGAACCGGUGCACGUGUUCUCCCCCUUUUCUCCAGCGUGAUUUGGCCGAUCCGUGUUCAGGAGCGAGGUUGGAUGCACACUGAUCCGGGGCUGUCCAUGCUGGGAUGUUACUUUGAUUCAUUCACCUUUUGUUAUUCAGCUCCUUUUUGUGACAGGAAAGAUUCCUCAGUUUGUGCAUCUUUCCGCUAUAAGAACAAGUAUCCACUUCUGGAAUUUUAUUUACUCUCUUUUUCUGGUGUAAAAAAUAGAUGCCUACACAAUGUCUUUCUUGCAUUGCUACAGUGUGGACUUUAUUUUUGUUGGGCAAUC